CUCCUACGGGAGGCAGCAGUGGGGAAUCUUGGUCAAUGGGCGCAAGCCUGAACCAGCGACGCCGCGUGAGUGAUGAAGGCCUUCGGGUUGUAAAGCUCUGUGGGGAGAGACGAAAACGGUCUGGGCGAAUAGGCCAGAUCCUUGACGGUAUCUCCUUAGCAAGCACCGGUUAACUCUGUGCCAGCAGCCGCGGUAAGACAGAGGGUGCAAACGUUGCUCGGAAUUACUGGGCGUAAAGCGCGUGUAGGCGGGUCGGCAAGUCGGGCGUGAAAUCCCUAGGCUCAACCUAGGAACUGCGCUCGAAACUGCCGGUCUUGAGUGACGGAGAGGAAAGCGGAAUUCCUGGUGUAGAGGUGAAAUUCGUAGAUAUCAGGAGGAACACCGGUGGCGAAGGCGGCUUUCUGGACGUCUACUGACGCUGAGACGCGAAAGCGUGGGGAGCAAACAGGAUUAGAUACCCUGGUAGUCCACGCCGUAAACGAUGAGUGCUAGGUGUCGUGGGUUUUGACCCCUGCGGUGCCGUAGCUAACGCAUAAGC
rnacentral:rRNA from 1 species